GACGAACGCUGGCGGCGUGCUUAACACAUGCAAGUCGAACGAAGUGGGAACGGGUGAGUAAUACGUGAGUAACCUCCCUCCUUUUUGGGAUAAGCCUUGGAAACGGGGUCUAAACCGGAUAGAUGGGCUCGCGGCCUAUCAGGUUGUUGGUGGGGGGAUGGCCUACCAAGGCGGUGACGGGUAGCCGGCCUGAGAGGGUGACCGGGCACACUGGGACUGAGACACGGCCCAUACUCCUACGGGAGGCAGGAGUAGGGAAUCUUCGGCAAUGGACGGAAGGCUGACCGAGCAACGCCGCGUGAGGGAAGAAGGUUUUCGGAUCGUAAAGCUCUGGUGUUAGAGAAGCGGUAACUAACCAGAAAGGGACGGCUAACUACGUGCCAGCAGCCGCGGUAAUAC
rnacentral:rRNA from 1 species